AGAUUACUCAGCUGUUCUAGUGGUCUGAGGCAGGUGUUAGAUCACUCAGCUGUUCGAGUGGUCUGAGGCAGGUGUUAGAUCACUCAGCUGUUCGCGUGGUCUGAGGCAGGAGGUGUUAGAUCACUCAGCUGUUCUAGUGGUCUGAGGCAGGUGUUAGAUUGAUCUAGUGGUCUGAGGCAGGUGUUAGAUUACUCAGCUGAUCUAGUGGUCUGAGGCAGGUGUUAGAUUACUCAGCUGAUCUAGUGGUCUGAGACAGGUGUUAGAUUACUCAGUUACUCAGCUGUUCUAGUGGUCUGAGGCAGGUGGUAGAUUACUCAGCUGUUCUAGUGGUCUGAGACAGGUGUUAAAUUACAAGCGUUUUCAAUUGUAACGUUAAUAUUAUUACAUUGUGAUGUGUCGUGGAAUUAUCAGAAUUGGUUGGUAACAUUUGUAAGAUGUUUUAUAUCAAAUGUGUGUAGGUUAUUUCUCAUAAGAAUGUAUUUUGUUGUACUAUAGUGGUGGCCAUUGGCAGUUAUCUGUUCUAUGUCAGGACUAAGUUGCAUGGGCCGCAGAGAGGGGAGAGGUCAAAGUGUCAUCAUGUGUAAACAUGUCUUUUACUCCCUACCUUUCCCAGUGGGGAAAGGAAGGUUGCAGUGUCUGGAAUCAUUCUAUGCUCCCUCUUUGUUGACCUGUAGGGUCAGUCUCCUAUCUGUGUUUCCCUCUUAUGUUGUUUCUAUCUUAACCUUUAGCCUCACCCUCCUCUCCGUGAGUUUGUCCAAUAGUUUGUAUUUUGAGUGGGUUGUAUAUAAAUGACAAUUUGAUAUAUGCCUGUUGAUAUGGAGGAAUUGGUUUAUGGUUCUGGGGUUUGGGAAAGGAGACAAAGCUGAACGAUGAGUUAUGUCUAUGCUGUCUGACUAUGUGUGUCUUUGCUAUUAAAAGGAACUCAGUUGCAUUGUAAGGGGACUCUCAGAGAAUUCACUGGGGAGACACUGAAUUUAUCUGAGAGUCACAGGAUUGUGAUAGAGCUCGUAUAAUUAAAGAUGGACUUUUAUAACUAACUCUGACGUGUGUGUGUGGUUUGCUCCCAUGAUUUGGUAAAUAG
ensembl:lncRNA